rnacentral:rRNA from 1 species
AUUGAACGCUGGCGGCAGGCUUAACACAUGCAAGUCGAACGAGCGGCGGACGGGUGAGUAAUGUCUGGGAAACUGCCUGAUGGAGGGGGAUAACUACUGGAAACGGUAGCUAAUACCGCAUACCAUCGGAUGUGCCCAGAUGGGCUUAGCUAGUAGGUGGGGUAAAGGCUCACCUAGGCGGCGAUCCCGAGCUGGUCUGAGAGGAUGACCAGCCACACUGGAACUUAGAGACGGUCCAUACUCCUACGGGAGGCAGCAGUGGGGAAUAUUGCACAAUGGGCGCAAGCCUGAUGCAGCCAUGCCGCGUGUAUGAAGAAGGCCUUCGGGUUGUAAAGUACUUUCAGCGGGGAGGCGGUACCCGCAGAAGAAGCACCGGCUAACUCCGUGCCAGCAGCCGCGGUAAUAC